rnacentral:rRNA from 1 species
UACAGAGGUCUCAAGCGUUGUUCGGAUCCAUUGGGCGUAAAGGGCGCGUAGGCGGCGGGGUAAGUCGGGUGUGAAAUCCCAGAGCUCAACUCUGAAACUGCACUCGAUACUGCUCUGCUUGAGGACUGGAGAGGAGACUGGAAUUCACGGUGUAGCAGUGAAAUGCGUAGAUAUCGUGAGGAAGACCAGUGGCGAAGGCGGGUCUCUGGACAGUUCCUGACGCUGAGGCGCGAAGGCCAGGGGAGCAAACGGG